rnacentral:rRNA from 1 species
GACGAACGCUGGCGGCGUGCCUAAUACAUGCAAGUUGAGCGCUGAAGGUUGGUACUUGUACCAACUGGAUGAGCAGCGAACGGGUGAGUAACGCGUGGGGAAUCUGCCUUUGAGCGGGGGACAACAUCUGGAAACGAAUGCUAAUACCGCAUAAAAACUUUAAACACAAGUUUUAAGUUUGAAAGAUGCAAUUGCAUCACUCAAAGAUGAUCCCGCGUUGUAUUAGCUAGUUGGUGAGGUAAAGGCUCACCAAGGCGAUGAUACAUAGCCGACCUGAGAGGGUGAUCGGCCACAUUGGGACUGAGACACGGCCCAAACUCCUACGGGAGGCAGCAGUAGGGAAUCUUCGGCAAUAGACGAAAGUCUGACCGAGCAACGCCGCGUGAGUGAAGAAGGUUUUCGGAUCGUAAAACUCUGUUGGUAGAGAAGAACGUUGGUGAGAGUGGAAAGCUCAUCAAGUGACGGUAACUACACAGAAAGGGACGGCUAACUGCGUG